rnacentral:lncRNA from 1 species
CACUGCCAUUCCAAAAUGGCUGCUGUGGCUUCUGCUACCUAGCAUGAGGACGAAAAAGACAGUUAUCCAGAAAAAAAAGGAGUUGUUCAAUGUUAUUGGUGUAACAGUUGGGAUAAUUCGGAGUACAAUGUAUUUUUCAUUCCUGGAUUGAGGGCUAUCUUCUGUGUACCACCCCUACCUUGGCACAACACAACUGAUUAUCUCAAGAAGGAAAGAAAUUCCACAAAUGGUCUUUUAACAAGCCCGAGAUCCUGAAGAGGCAAUUGCCAGGUACAGAAAGGUGCUGAAACACGUUCAAAGAGGGAAAACCAUGACUGCUGCUUUCCUGAAGGAGGCUGUGGAUCACAACACUAUUGAGUUCAACUCUCCAGUUGCCUAACUGGCAAUCGCUGCGCCUGACCAACUGACCACUUCAAAGACUUAUGAAAAAUGUACACUCGCAAUUAAAAAUGCUGUGUUUUUGCAAGCAAGUGGAAUAAUGUAAUUGAGAGUGAUUUGCGUGAAGGGCAAAAUAAAGAUUUUGAAAAAAACAGGAGAAUUUCCCAUGAAGAAGGGCAAGUGAAAUGUUAGCAAGUGAAAUGUUGUUGAGAUUUUGUUAUUAUUGAGACGAUCUGUACAGGCUGAUUUUCUUCCAAGGUUUUCCUCAUCAAGAAAUGUGACAUACUGUACUUCAUUUUCUAGUUUGAAUACACCAGCCCUGGCUCUCUCUCUCUCUCUCACUCUCUUUUUCUCUCUCUCAUCUCCCUCAUGUUCUCUCUGUAAGUCACUCGGAAGAUCUCAAUUGCAUAUUCCUCACUUCCUCUCUUUUCAUCUCCUUCUCAAAACCCAUUGGAGGAGAAUGUCAGAGGAGGAGGCACUCUGGCUUUCUCAUCCAAUGGGUUUUGAAAAGGAGAGAGGAGAGAGAAUGCCAGGCGUAUGCAAUUCAGAUCUUCCCACUGUCCUUAAGGCCAGAUUGUAAACUGUUCAGUGGUUGGAAGAUCAGUGGAUGUUCAAAGCACCCAUUUUAGGUUAUCCCUUUUGAACAAACAGAUAAUGUGGGUCAGACCUGGUUUAAUAAGGAUCAGCGCUUUAAAAAAAAAUCUCACCUACAAUGACAUACCCAAAUCUAACUGCCUGUAGCUCAGGCCCUGAAGCAAGGAUAUGCAUAUUCUUGGUACCAUUUGAAAGGAAACACUUUGAACUUUGUGGAAAUGUGAAAGGAAUGUAGGAGAAUAUAAUAGAAU